rnacentral:antisense_RNA from 1 species
AAUAGCCAAAAAUAAUUUCAGGGUUGAGAGUCGGAUUGCUAACGAUUCGGACAUCGGCAAUAGUGGAAUCGUAUAAGCCACCAUAGUACAUUCCUUUUGCUACUAGUAAAAAUACGCCUAAACCAAGCAAAAUCAGAUGAAUUCCGAUAAUGUCAGUCAUUUUAUUGGUGUCUUGCCA